AAAGUACUUCAGAGCCUCAGUGGGUCUGGAACAAGUCACAUGUCAGAUGGCUUCCAAGGGAAUGAUAAAAGUCAGAGGCCCAUGUUUUAGGCUCUGACUAAAGGUCAGAUUCUUCCUCAAUCUCUACAUGUUUCUUAUCUUUGGAGUAACUUUGAAAGGAUCACAGGAGUUCCCUGGUGACCUAGUGGUUAAGGGUCUGGUGUUGUCACUGCUGUAGCUUGGGUCACUGGCCUGAGGACUUCUGCAUGCCAUGGGCAUGGCCAAAAACAAUAAAAAGAAGGAUAACAUCUCUCUUUGCAUUUUAGAUAUGCAAAAGCAGAGGCAAUGAGACGCUAACUGGACCUUUCCCAGUACCAUGUCAGCAGGUAGUAAAGCUCUGACCUUCACCAAUUCCCUUUCCAUCAUCCUGCUCUUCAGUCAGGUAGGAUUGGCAGAGGGUACAUGUAAACCACACACAACUACAACAAGCACAGCUGGAGAAGGAGAGGAUGGUGGCAGGAGCAGACAUACAGUGAACACCAAAUGGGAAAUCUGCAAAGAAAAACCACCUAUGAAAUGGGGCUGAUGGAUUUCACCUAACUUGUAGAGGCCCAGCCAGGGGUUCUUAACCCAGCUGCACACAGAAUCACCUGGGGCCCAGGCUUUAGUGUCUGUUUGGUUUGGGAUGAAGGCCCAGCAGCAGUGUAUUUGAAACAUUUCCCAGAUGAUUCUCUGCUGCCAGAGUUGAAAACCACAGAUUGAGAUUAAAUGCCUUUGUAGACUAAGCAAUUAAAUCUAAAUCAUGAACGUAAUUUUUUUUAAAAAAGCAUAUAUGUGAAAGGGAAACAAAAGCAUAUAUGUGAAAGGGAUUGACAAACUGCAUACUGUUCUACAUAUGGCCCUUUAAUGAAGAGAUAAAUGGAGAAGAGCAUAAUUUAGUAAAUAAUUGGACACCUGGUCCACCGGGGCAGGGAGCCGGGAGAGCAGGGAAAGAUCGAGCGUGUUGAAGGCUACUAAGAAGAAGGAUUUUUUUGAUGCUAUGAUUUGAAGCCAACCUUUCCUGGUAACUGGCCCAUCACAUGCUCUCUGGCCUCCACCGUACAUAAAGGAAACUUGGAGUGAAAAGAAGCCAGCUGUAUAAAGAGGUGGAGACAAGAAGAGGCUGUCUGAGUUUUGGAGUCAGCCAUACCAGGACUCCUCCCUGGAUUGUUCUGCAAGUGGGGUAGUACCAUGAUUUCAGAAAGUAAUUCCCGACAUAUUUUGGUAUGAGGCUCUAGGAUUUGUCAAACCACACUGGAAUUCACCAUUUAUAAAGGGGCUGGAACCUUAGAAUUUUCGUUUUCAAUAAGCCAGUUUUUAAAAGGAAUUCUCCCCACCAGAAGUGCAUUUCACAAUCAGGGACGACACCUCUUUCAGAGCUCAGAGCUAAACCACUGUGUGAAAAUACGUACUUGAACAUGGAAGGAGCUAGAUUUGCCAAGUACCUCCGGAGCCCUCCACCUGUCUCUUCCCAAACACAACCUCUGCCCUGCUACCCACAAGAGGAGCCACUAUCCUGACAUUUAUGGUAAUCAACUGUUUGCUUUUCUUUGUCGUUUCUCACCCAAACGUUAGAGUUAGCAUUGUCUAUUCUUAUUUUUUAAUAUCCUUUAGAUCUCUUUCCUCUAUAAUUUUGUCUGUUCAUUUCCGUUUCCCUCCAUUGCUCUUUAUUUCCUGGGGAAACCAGGUCAUCUCUUGUGGACUUUGCCUCAGCCUGUGCUACCUCCCACAGUGUGCUUUCACGUCUGUGUCUCCAGCAAACUGGCUGCAGAUCCAGAGGCUUAAUCACAUACAGACCUGGUUGUUUGGGGGAAGACGUCUUUUUAGGUGGUGUCGUGUUCUUCAUCGAAAGAUCCGCACUAUCUAAUUUUCUCUUUAUUUGUGGAAAUAGCCACCGACUCUCAGUGCCUACAUCUUUAAUUCAUUAGGAGUAAAUGGUGAUAUUCUAAUUCCUUCAUUCUGUCUUCAUUUAUCUGUUGAAAUAUUUCUAUACAAAGAAAUUUCUCUUCUAUGAUUUGGUUGACUGGUGGUAUGGUUUGUAGAAAAAAGGAUAAAUGCUUGGGACUUCAUUUUAUUUACCAGUGGUCAACAAAAAGAGACAGAUCUGUAGCAUUCUUCCAGAACCAUCCUAUUAAUGUUUUCUCUCAUUAGGAACUCAUGAAUACAAACACAUUUGACCAGUUUCAAUGUAUCAUUUAGUUGUGAUUUACAAUCUCUAUUAGGAGAAUGUUUUCUGGCUACACAAUGGCCAAAACUACACCUAUACAGAUGUGAUCCCAGGAAUGUGGAGCAAAACCAAAGGGGUCUGAAGGUUUCUACCCGUCCACCUCUGAUCCUUGAAAGUCCUGUGGCCACAGGAGAGAAGGUGGCAGAUUAGAGUGAGUCCAGGUUUCAGAGUGGCAGGGGACCUGGGUUUGAAUCUUGGCUGUUACUCCCUAGCUGUGUGACCUCGUAUUUCUUCCUAAACCUCUCUGAAACUCCGUUUUCCUCAUCUGUAAAGGUGAGAGGAACAAUGUUUGCCUUAGUUGUACGUGUUGGUUGAGAAUAUGCACCAAGCACAUGGCCCAGUGUCUGGCCCAGUGUCUGACCCAGAGUAGGGAUUUGAUACAAGUUCCUUCCCUUGCCUGACCUUCCCUGCAAAGCAGUGAGAAGGCAAGCCUGAGAAAUGCCCAUCCCUUUGGAAAAAAGUUGCUCAAAGAUUUCAGCCCAGUGCACGUAGUUAUUUUUUUUUUUCUUCUCUGUCUUCUUUUUUGUUUUCACCUAAAGGAACUUUUCAUUAUUGUCAUUCAGUAAGAUGUACUUUCAUUCUGUUUGUUUUCUGAGGCAAGUUAACUGGUAAUUCCUAGAAGCUUCUUAACUGUCACACAAACCAGCUUCUCCAGCUUUUGAAGAGGGUGGUCUUAACUAGAGUGCCAUGUGCCUCCCAGGAAGAAGAGAGGCACCCCUACUUUCAUCUCAUUGAAAGGAUUCCAGCUUCUAGGGAGGGAAGUUUUCUCUGGCUUUAUUUCAGAAAUGAUGUGACAGUUGUCAGCCCUGAUCUCCCCAACACAUGCACGCACACAUCCCACCUCUCACCUUGCUCUUUUGUUUCCCCUUAAGACUCCUGUAAAAACCCAGUGUGCUGUUUUUCAUGUUCUGUGUUUCCCCAAAUUGUUCCUUUUCACUUGUGUAGCUUAGCUUAAAAAUUGCCAUUUAUUGGGAGUUCCCACUGUGGUGCAGUGGAAAUGAAUCCAACUAGUAUCCAUGAGAAUGCAGGUUCAAUAGCUGGCCUCACUCAGUGGGUUAAGGAUCCGGCAUUGCCGUGAGCUAUAGUGUAGGUUGCAGACAUGGCUCAGAUCUGGCAUUGCUGUGGCUGUAGCUGUGGCUGUGGGCAGCAGCUGCAGCUCAGAUUCAACCCUUGGCCUGGGAACUUCCAUGUGCCGUAAGCGUGGCCCUUAAAAAAAAAAAAAAAAAAUGUUUUCAAAGAGAAAGAAAUUCUCUCUAGGAAUAGGAAAGUUGUAUGAAACCAGAUGCAGCUGAGUAGGGCCCAACUCGUGGUUUCCCCAAGCUGGAUGACUGGAUGACAUCUAUCUACCUGUAGGAAAGGAGAAUUCUGAGGCAUUCUGCUGUAGAGACAAAAAACCUCAUCAACGCUUAUGUUUGUUCGUGAGCGUAGUAGGAAGUCAUUUCAUUUGUGAAGGCCUGAUGGUGCAGUAGGGUUUAACUGAAGCUAUGCAGAAAGUUGGGUGCAUGUUUGCCUCUGAUCCUAAGGAAGGCUAAGAACACGCUUCUACUCCCAGUUUAUAAAAUAGAAAACCUAGGCUCAGAGAGGUGAACCAGGGUCCCAGAGCUGCUCCAGCAGAACUGCCACUCAGCUGCUCCCACUCCCCACCCAGUGGUGUUUUUGUCACCCCAUUCUAGGCCUCCAGUUCUCCCAAGGAAGCACCUUCACACAUGCCUUGCUCCCCACUGAGAGGUCUCCUGGCCUCUGCACUUGAACUUCCCACUGACGCAGGCACUUGAAUCCAAUCACUUACCCUUUCAGUCAACCCAUCAUGCAGUGUAUUCAUUCAAUUCUAAGUACUUUUUCAGUACCUAGGGUUUGUCAAGCACUGUGCGCCAGUGUUGUAGCAAACAAAAUGCUCUCAAGGUGCUUAUAGUCAAAUGGAAGAAUAAUUUAGAUAUAGGUAUACACAUAUAAUAUGUUUUAUGUCUGAUGUUUCCUAUUAAAAUUGACUCAACAAUCUUCUCUCCUGAAAGGAAAUUAAUACAACUAAAGCCCCUGGGUAAGAAAGUCCAUGUAUACCCAUACAUCAUGUUGUAGUAAAGAGUAAGGAAGUCUCAAGUAACUUUCUUUUCAUAUUCAGUUACUACUGUAAUAAAGAAAGAAGAGCGCGUCCAAGCAGAGAGUUGGAGAAUUAGCACUUAACUGCUCUGAGUUGUUGGGUCAGAGCCAUUUUGUCUUUACAAUUUAACAUCACACUAAUGUGUUGUUUGGGCUGUAAAAUCAACAAUGUGCUUUACAGAACUUAAUGCAUCUCUUGGUGUGCAGACAAAGAUCUAAGAGGGUUUGUUCCUUUUUGUUGCAUCUCACUUGCCAGCCAGCUGCACGUUGCCCUCUCCUCCCUCCCACAUCCCAAACCCAUGUUCACAGAGUCUUCAAAUAAAGCAUGCUUUUGUUUUUGAAAAUGGUCUUUUCUGGACAAUUGAGUUGGCUCAUGAAAUCCACAACUUCAAGGCUUCGGGAAGUCCCGUUAAGUUUGUCAAAGAGUGUACCCCUGAAUGGUUUUAGAAUGCAGGCUUCUACAUGUUCACCCUGCCAACUCAUCCAAGGUUUUAGGAUUCAUACAAAGAGAGCCAAGUGUGAUCCUUGAAAUGGAAAAAAUAUUAAUCUAGGAUCAAAAAUAAAAGUAUAUCUAUAUAAUGCAGCACACAUAUCUCAUUUUAAAGCUAUUGUUACUAAGCUCAAAGAAGACAUUUGAGAAGAGUGUGUUGAUUUGACUUCAUUUUUUUCUAUAGACAAUUUGAAUAGGGAUAUAAGAUUAUCUUAAUGCAUCUGUAUCCUCUUACAUAACAAGAAAUCCAUUAUUUAACAUGUUUUGUGAAACCCUUGUGUGCAGCCAUUGAUUAAAUAUUGUAUUUGAACUGCCUUCGGACUCUUUCACCAUAACUCUAGCUCAACCAGUCCUUUUGACAGCUGUAUUUCCCUAACUGCAUGGUUCAGCAGACACUACUAAUAGACAAUUUUCUUCUGUUUAGCAAAACAGAAAAACUUUUCUGUGUAUAAGAAUUCAUCUGGCAAUAGAAUUAAUCUUAGCUGCUGUAUUUUUAACCAAUAUUUAGCAGUUACCAAAAUUCUCUUGAUCACUAUUGUGAGUCUUUUGAAGAAAGCACUAUAUACAAGAAAGAGAACUAACUUAUCCUGAGGUUACAAGACCCACAUUCAAAAGCUAACUCAACCAUUUAUUCCUUAUUUGAUAUUGGACAGUCAGCUCUUAAGUGGAGAUGGUCGUUCAUGGUCUUGACUAUAUAAUGGGGUCACUGAUGCAGGUCAAGUGAGAUGAAUAAAUAGCACUUGAAAAAGUGUAAAGCAAUGAAUUAUGUAAGACAUUAUUAUCUUUAGGUUUUGUUUUUUUCCACUUCUCACACACAAACACACACACACAUACAAUGCUUAACAGCUCUGCAGAUCUAUUCCUUUUUAGUUGUAAUUUAUGCUCCACUUCCAAAAAAGUGUUUUAAAGAGCCUAUAUGAUACAAGACACAGACAUAAUAGAAUCAAUCAAACAAGGAUGCAUGAACAGCAACCAGACAACAGAUGAGAGAAAUUAGAAACUACAGG
rnacentral:lncRNA from 1 species